UGCGCAGGCGGCUUAUUAAGUCAGUGGUGAAAUCUCUCGGCUCAACCGAGAAACUGCCAUUGAAACUGAUAAGCUUGAGUAUAGUUGUAGUAGGCGGAAUAUAGCAUGUAGCGGUGAAAUGCUUAGAUAUGCUAUAGAACACCGAUCGCGAAGGCAGCUUACUAAACUAUUACUGACGCUCAUGCACGAAAGCGUGGGGAGCGAACAGGAUUAGAUACCCUGGUAGUCC
rnacentral:rRNA from 1 species